AUGACUCACACAUUUGCCUCCCACCUGCGCUGCCAGCUUUCCGAGUCUUCAUUCAGAAGGGUCCCAGUGCCAGCAGCCUCCGGCGCCCAGAGAUUGCUGACUCUCCCGGGCCAGUGCAGAGUCCACUCACCUGAUUCGAACGGACUGCUCGGCCCGGAGCUGGUUCAUCGCCUUUCUAGGCUCCAGUCCCCAAGCCCAAGACGCACACGGCUCACACGAGGGCCCUUUGCCACGGCGCCCAGAGUACCCUGCCGUCUGUCGCACCUGGACGCCUCCCCUCUGCUCCAGGGGGCGCACAGGGCAGGCAGCCCCGGGAGGGGGGAACAGGGGGUGGGCGGGGGUGCAGGACAGUUGGGGGGAUGGCGCAGGCACAGUGCUCCCCCCCAACAUGGGACUUGGCGUGUCCUGCCCGUCUGCUCCUGGCUUCCCUGCCCCCCUCGGCCCACGUGCUUGGGGGAAGUUAACAUCCCCUCCUGGACCCUGUGACGCGGGCCUCAGCCAGUGACGGUGGCACAGUCCAUGGCCACAGGGGUUGGUUGAGGGAUGAGCGUGUGCUACAGCGGAAGCCAACGAGAGGCCAGGGGCUCCCUGAGGCUGGCUGGGCCUGGGCGGCCUGGGGGGCCCGGGAGCCGGGUCUGUGUGCUCCUGGCCGGCACCUGCGUGGGGUGGAGCUGCGUGUCCUCUGCCCGCCAGGCAGCUGGUUGUGGCUGUGGCUGUUCCCUUCAGGGUGGCCUGCGGCCUGGCCACAGCGCCCUGGCACGUGUGAGCUCCAUUCUGGGUGCAGCCUGGCAGGGAGGGUCCCAUUGCCGCUUGGUGCAGGGGGAGCGGCGCCCGCAGGCCGGGAGGCUGAUGUCAGUUCCUGAGCUCCUCUCCUGGGGCUGGCGCGGCGGGUGUGAGGAGUUGGCCCCGUGUGGCCCCGUGUGGCCCCGUACCCGCCUCCUCCCCCAGCAGGGCAUGCGGGGUUCCCAGGGGAGGAGCAUGGAGUCCUCCUUGGGGCCCAGCUGCGCCUAGGAGCACGGCCAGCACACCUGUGUGAGCCCGCGGGGUGUCCGUGGCAGCCCUGCCCUGGUGACACGCCCCUCUCCCACGGUCCCCUUCUGGCCCUCACCUGUCCCGGGACCCACGCCCUCCCCUCUUCCUGCCCCGAGCCCUCUGCGUGGACCCCGCUGUCACCCCCGUCCUGCGGGAGGCCUGGCCGUCCUCCGGCCCUGCCGGCUCCCUGCUCCCCGGCCCUGACUGCACUUGGGCUUCUGGUUUCCUUGCUUGCUGCGGCCUCUCCUGCAGACUGGAAGCCUCGGGGGGCUCGGGCCGGGUCUGUCUCCUUCACCUCCACUUCCCAGCAGCCCGCACACAGCAGGUGCUCAGUAAGUACACGCUGAGUGAACAAAUCAGAAGGUCGGUGAAGGUGCUGGGGCGGCCUGACCUCUACCUGGUGCAGCCCCUGCAGCGCGGCGGGGAGGUUGGGGGGGCUCCCUGGAGGAGGCGC
rnacentral:lncRNA from 12 species